GACGAACGCUGGCGGCGUGCCUAAUACAUGCAAGUUGAGCGCUGAAGGUUGGUACUUGUACCAACUGGAUGAGCAGCGAACGGGUGAGUAACGCGUGGGGAAUCUGCCUUUGAGCGGGGGACAACAUUUGGAAACGAAUGCUAAUACCGCAUAAAAACUUUAAACACAAGUUUUAAGUUUGAAAGAUGCAAUUGCAUCACUCAAAGAUGAUCCCGCGUUGUAUUAGCUAGUUGGUGAGGUAAAGGCUCACCAAGGCGACGAUACAUAGCCGACCUGAGAGGGUGAUCGGCCACAUUGGGACUGAGACACGGCCCAAACUCCUACGGGAGGCAGCAGUAGGGAAUCUUCGGCAAUGGACGAAAGUCUGACCGAGCAACGCCGCGUGAGUGAAGAAGGUUUUCGGAUCGUAAAACUCUGUUGGUAGAGAGGAACGUUGGUGAGAGUGGAAAGCUCAUCAAGUGACGGUAACUACCCAGAAAGGGACGGCUAACUACGUG
rnacentral:rRNA from 1 species